CACGUAGGGCGCAAGCGUUGUCCGGAAUUAUUGGGCGUAAAGAGCUCGUAGGCGGUCUGUUGCGUCCGCUGUGAAAUCCCGGGGGCUCAACCCCCGGAACUGCAUUCGAUACUGCCUUGCUAGAGUACUGGAGAGGAGAUUGGAAUUUACGGUGUAGCAGUGAAAUGCGUAGAUAUCGUAAGGAAGACCAGUGGCGAAGGCGGGAUCUCUGGACAGUUACUGACACUGAGGCACGAAGGCCAGGGGAGCAAACGGG
rnacentral:rRNA from 1 species